GAUGAACGCUGGCGGUCUGCUUAACACAUGCAAGUCGAACGAACUCUUCGGAGUGAGUGGCGGACGGGUGAGUAACGCGUGAGAAUCUGGCUGUGGGUCGGGGACAACCACUGGAAACGGUGGCUAAUACCGGAUGAGCCGAAAGGUAAAAGAUUUAUUGCCCACAGAUGAGCUCGCGUCUGAUUAGCUAGUUGGUAAGGUAAAAGCGUACCAAGGCGACGAUCAGUAGCUGGUCUGAGAGGAUGAGCAGCCACACUGGGACUGAGACACGGCCCAGACUCCUACGGGAGGCAGCAGUAAGGAAUAUUGGGCAAUGGACGGAAGUCUGACCCAGCCAUGCCGCGUGC
rnacentral:rRNA from 1 species